ACAAAAUACGAAACUCUGUUCCGGACAGAAAACGGUGAUAUCUCCGGUGAAAGCUCUUCUCAGAAGGAACUGCCUGAGAGAGAACCUAAAGCAAUUGGGACAGCGGUGAUAUUGACGGCAAAGCAAGAACACGUGAUGCAUCAGCUAUGAAAGAGAACAGAAGAUAUCACUUUCUCUAGUUUUUUUUCUUAUUUGGACAAUGUUUAAGGAAUAGAAAAUUUCACAAUUAUAGAUAAAAUAAAAAACACUUGGGCAACUCACAAUUCUCUUAACUCACUCUUAUUUUUCAGAGAGAGAGGGCGAAUUUCGGUUACCCGGAAUCCAUUCCGGUAUAAUACCGGCUUUUUGUUUUGUAAUAUAUUCCGGUCCCAACGGGUCGGAUUUUGUUUUUCUGUUUUACCGGAUCUUUCUCCGGUUUAAUCGGAUAUAAUAAUCUCCAUCUUUGCUUCGGCUAAGAUUGGAUUCUGUUUUUUGUUUAUCCUCUUUCUACAGGGAUUCAAAUUGAUCUCCUCUUGCGAUCUAUUGAUCUCCAUGUUUCCCCGUCAACUUGACUCUUCUCCUUUGUCGGAGUAAUAUCUUCGCCGCUUAACUUGAAGAGGACCUUUUUAGGUCUUAGGCGGAGCUUCCAACGAGUAGAUUGGGUUAAGAAGUUGAAGACUUGAUGAUGUCUUCUUGUGGCCUUUUUCAGACGGAUCCAGUGGGUUUCAAUUUGCUUUGCAUGGACGUAAUCUGUAGAAAGGGAGUGGUGGUGGUUUCCCGAAGCCGGCGGCGGAGCUGUGUCAACUCGUGCAGUUUGGUCGGCACCGUCCGUUUCAUCUUCUCCUUCUUGCGUGCUAACACGUAUGUUACACGUGGCACCUUCUUUCCUUAGUCUUUUCUAAAAGAAAUCGACUAAAGAGUUGUUAUUUCAAUUAAGGUUGUAAAUGUUGGGGUUGGGCUUCUGUAUUCUCAUCAUUGUACUAUUAGUUAUUGGGCUUUGUACUACUGCCCAUUGGGCUUCCAUAUUAAUGGAAUUUGGCCGACAAAAAAAAAAAUCACAACUCACAAUGUACAAAUUAAGAUUAAUUAUUACUAACCAUAUUUAAAAAGUGUCUACUAAUAUUUUAACUUUUAGCAUAAUAUUGUUAUAAAAAAAAUUUGGAAAUAUUAUGGGGUCAAGUGACCCCCCUCCUAAUGCUCUAGCUCCGUCACUGAGUGACAUGAGAGAAAAGAAAAUGCAUUGUUUUAUUAAGCAAAAAUUAAGAAAAAUAUGAGCAAAACAUAAGAUAAUAUGAUAAAAUAUAAAAAAUAUAGGUGUGUUUGUUAAUGUUUACAUGUGUAAUGUCAAUAUCCACAAAUUUGAAUUUAAGAAUUCAAAGUUUGUGAAACAC
rnacentral:sRNA from 1 species